rnacentral:rRNA from 1 species
UACGACUACAUAUCAGGCAUAUCAAUAAGCGGAGGAAAAGAAACUAACUAAGGAUUCCCUCAGUAACGGCGAGUGAAGCGGGAAGAGCUCAAAUUUGAAAUCUUCAAGGUUCUACCUUGACGAAUUGUAGUUUAAAGAAGUGUUUUCUGUUGGAGUUUUGGUAAAAGUUCUUUGGAAUAGGACAUCAUAGAGGGUGAGAAUCCCGUAUUUGACCAUUAUUUCCAGCUUUGUGAUAGCACUUUCAAAGAGUCGGAUUGUUUGGGAAUGCAGUCCAAAAUGGGUGGUAAAGUUUCAUCUAAAGCUAAAUAUUGGCGAGAGACCGAUAGCGAACAAGUACCGUGAGGGAAAGAUGAAAAGAACUUUGAAAAGAGAGUUAAACAGUACGUGAAAUUGUCAAAAGGGAAGCGUUUGACACCAGUGUUGUUUUCUCGAAAAUCAAUUAAAAAAGGCAGGGAUUUUGUGUUGUAUUGACUUUAUCAGCUUUCUGCACUCUUUUCUUGUCUUUUUUAAUGCACUUUUCGUUUAACAAGUCAACAUCAAUUUCUUUUGUUGUAAAAGGGUCAUUGGAAGGUGGCUUUCUUUUCGGAGAAAGUGUUUAUAGCCUUUGGCCUCUGCAAUCGGAGAGAUUGAGGUCUGCAGCGUAGAUCCUUCGGGGUUAGAUACAUUUGUGCUAAGUUAUAGCCUUUCAUAGACAACUUGUUGACUAUGAUCAGUCAUGUAGCUUACUCGCUUAUGCUAUUUUACCUACGCUUAGGAUGUUGAGCGCAUGUCUCUCUCU